AGUGAACGCUGGCGGUAGGCCUAACACAUGCAAGUCGAACGGCAGCACAGUAAGAGCUUGCUCUUACGGGUGGCGAGUGGCGGACGGGUGAGGAAUACAUCGGAAUCUACUUUUUCGUGGGGGAUAACGUAGGGAAACUUACGCUAAUACCGCAUACGACCUACGGGUGAAAGCAGGGGAUCUUCGGACCUUGCGCGAAUGAAUGAGCCGAUGUCGGAUUAGCUAGUUGGCGGGGUAAAGGCCCACCAAGGCGACCCUCCGUACCUGGCCUGACAGGAGGAUCAGCCACACUGGAACUGGGACACGGUCCAGACUCCUACGGGAGGCAGCAGUGGGGAAUAUUGGACAAUGGGCGCAAGCCUGAUCCAGCCAUACCGCGUGGGUGAAGAAGGCCUUCGGGUUGUAAAGCCCUUUUGUUGGGAAAGAAAAGCAGCAGGUUAAUACCCCGCUGUUCUGACGGUACCCAAAGAAUAAGCACCGGCUAACUUCGUG
rnacentral:rRNA from 1 species